AGGGAUUUGAGAAUACGUUAAGGUUUAGGUUUAGGAAAUCUGGUUCGGGUUAUAGCUUUAGGUUUAGGUUAGGUUAUAGGUUAAGGUUUAGGAAAUUGAGUUUAGGUUAUAGGUUAAGUUUAGGGAGUUGAGUUUAGGUUAUAGGUUAAGGUUAAGGUUUAGGAAAUUGAGUUUAGGUUAUAAGUUAAGGUUAUAGGUUAAGGUUUAGGUUAUAGGUUAAGUUUUAGGUUUAGGUUAAGGUUAUAGGCUUAGGCUUAGGUUAUAGGUUUUGGGAUUUGAGAAUAGGUUUAGGUUAAGGUUAUAAGUUUAGGUUUAGGAAAUUGGGUUCGGGUUCGGGAUCGGGUUUAGGUUUGGGAUUUCAAGUUUAAGUUUAGGUUUGGGUUACGGAGUUGUGAUUAGGAUUAGAUGUAGGUUUAGGUUUAUAGAUUUGAGAAUACGUUAAGGUUUAGGUUUAGGA